UAGAUUUAGCAACACAUUUGCUAAAAUCCGAAUGAUGCAGAGAAGAUUAGCAUGUCCCCUGUGCAAGGACAAAAUGUGCAAAUAACAUCAUUGAAGGUCCUU